ACGUGUAUGUUGACGUUUUUUCUUCGCGCCCUACGUAGCCAAUCGGAGGUGCGGGGUAAGGACAAACAAUAACAACAACAACAUCUCACGGUGAGGUCGUGCCUCUCAUCAUGGCGCGUGGUGGAACGGGACCGCUCUCUUGUUUUAGGAAGACAACAACUCACACUGCUGUUCAAAACCUUCAAGAUUAUCUUACACGGAAUCACGGGGACAUGUUUCGAUGCGUCAAUUCCAUUGCCAGAGUCCCAACCGCGCUAGUCGGAGGUGCGGGGUAAGAACAAUCACCUGUCGUGGCCAACUCCGCCACUAUUCCAACCUGCGGUGACCGGCAUGGAGAAGUAUGAUCCAGCAACCUCCACGACUGACAAUCCAGCAGCGGAUCGACACACAGGGGGCUGCAAAUGAAUGACAGCACGAGAAAACACACACCUCGGAAUACCGUGACAUCCGAUUCUUUACCUUCGCGUGUAUUUUCACGCCACGCGAUAUGCUGAAGUGCCCGCUCGUACAAUGACAUCAUGAUUUUGUAACCUUUAUACCGGUUAUUGAUGGAGUUAAACGACAAACUGUACGUAAUUUUUGCUUUCGCAAGUACGAUCCAUUAAAAAAAAUCAUUUAAUAAAUCGAAUGAAAGGGUCAUGCAUGGUUUCUAUGAUUCUUUUUUGUGAUUAACCCAAGCAACUUUAUUUGCACAUUGCUGAAAUUUAAAUAUUCCUCAGAGCAAAUCAGGCUGGAAGCAUCCGAUUCCACCAGACCUCGGACGCUAGGCGGCUGUUGAGCUGUGGACGGGAGGACUGUUUGGGAAUGCCAGGUGGUGCUUUGGGAAUGCCAGGUGGUGCUUUGGGAAUGCCAGGUGGUGCACGCUUGGCUUGCAAGGCGACCAGG